GACGAACGCUGGCGGCGUGCUUAACACAUGCAAGUCGAACGAUGAAGUUCGGACGGAGGCUUCGGCCAACUGAAGAACGGAUUAGUGGCGGACGGGUGAGUAACGCGUGAGUAACCUGCCUUUCAGAGGGGAAUAACAUUUGGAAACGAAUGGUAAUACCCGCAUAAAGUCACGGAACCGCAUGAUUCUGUGACCAAAGGAGCAAUCCGCUGAAAGAUGGACUCGCGUCCGAUUAGCUAGUUGGAGAGGUAACGGCUCCCCAAGGCGACGAUCGGUAGCCGGACUGAGAGGUUGAACGGCCACAUUGGGACUGAGACACGGCCCAGACUCCUACGGGAGGCAGCAGUGGGGAAUAUU
rnacentral:rRNA from 1 species